GACUUAUAAAGCUUCGCGCGCAGACGUGCGUCCAACAUUAGAUUGGUCACUUGAAGAUGGCUGGACAGUGCCUUCUAUGGAUGGACGGAAAAGUCAAAGUGUUAAACUCUUGAAACGUGAAAAAGGAGAUCAUGUACCUCAAGAUGUUUGCCAAACUGGAAAAGAGCAGAAGCCAGAAAGAGCCAAGAAGCAGAAGACAGAGAGAGUCAAGAGGCAGAAGACAGAGGGAGACAUGCAGCAAGUGAAAGACAGUGAAGAUA